rnacentral:lncRNA from 1 species
GGACACAUUUUUCAAUGUCACUAAUUGAAUACUUAUGGUGACGAUAUAUUUCGUCACAAAAAGAGUUACUAAUAGUGACAAAAUUAGUUGUUGUGACUAAAUGAAUAUAUAACAGUAACGAUAUAGUUUGUCACCAAAAAGUUAAUUUUUAUGACACAUUUUUCUCUGUCGCUAAUUGAAUACUUAUAGUGACGAUAGAAAUC